UGCCGAGACCCAGAGACCGGCUGGCAGUCAUUAACCAAUGCUUACUCCCAGGGAGAAAAUGCAGGUUUUAAAGCCCCGAGCUCUGUUUUUGUAAAAGCAGCAGCCCUAGAAGAGAAGUUCCUUUUAGCCAGAUCCCAAAAAUGCCCAUGGCUGCUCCAAAGUCAUCCAAAAGGAUGGGAAAUGUGGCCCAAAGGAAGUCAGAGUACAAAGAGGCAGCGGUCUUAAGCAAUCAAAGCAAUCAAGGUCAGAGUAUCUUACCACCGCCAAGUUUACAAAAGCAAAUGGCCAUGAAUGUGUUGCUGGGGCUCCUGCGUGGGUGAGAGGCUUGGAGAUUCCUUUUCAUCAGCUUCGAGCCCUACCGAGUGCUUUUGUCACACGCAUCACACCCUGUACUUCCCGGGACGACCCUGUGGAGUGGCUGCGACGAGUCCUGCUCUGCAGAUGAGACAUGGAGGCACAGGGAGAGGGCUUUCUGCCUGCAGUCACUUGGCGACAGCAUUUCCAAGCGGCACCCCGGAACCCGGGCUGGCUGACUCCCCAGGCUGGUUCUUUCGUGACGGAACUCCGACCUUAAACUUUUCAUGAAGUGAAUGCAGCACACGUCUUGUUUUAGUUUCUCUGGUGGAGCUGACUUUAUUUGCAGCAGUAUCCGGUUAUAGCUCCCCUUCCUUUGCGUCCGUUCUUGCCGAGCAUGAUCUCACUGCCUGCUAAAAUAAUUAGGGAGUGGAGCCAACGGGAUUCCUUGACCAGCUUUAAAGUUCCUCUCUUCCCCUCUGAUGCUGAUGUUCUAGGGAUUUGCUCCUGAAAUGUGCCACCCGCCCUUACGCUGCCCAUCCAAAAGAGUCACCUUGUUGAAUCACUUGCCUAGCUUGUCAGGACAGUAUUUUGAAUUUGGAGUGGCUUGCCAACGUGCUGUUUAUGGGGGAAAGGAGGCUGUCAGUUCAGACAAUCCGCAAGUGCGCUAAUUAGCUGGAUGGAAAAGCAGGCGGUAGCAUCUCCCCUGCAGAUGAGAGAACCCAUCUGAUCCAGUUUCCUGACUGCGGUAGCAGUGAUUUUUUUCCUCCCAGGCCAGGCUGGGGACCGGGGCUCCAAAGCAUUACGGACUCCUUUAGCUCGGGGUCUCUCCCCUUCUACACCACUGACCUCUGGAGCUGGAUUGGAGCUGGGUGGGCUGGGGGUGGGGGGGUGGGGGGAGCUGGCUCCUGCCUUGUAGGAUGUUUAGUAGCGUCCUUGGCUGCUAUGGAACGCUAACGACCCCUCCCCCCCCAGCUGUGGUAAUCAGUAAUAUCUUCACACAUUGCCAGAUGUCCCUGGGGUGGGGGCAACAUUGCCCCUGGUUGAGAGCCACUUCUUGAGCCCUGUCAACAGACGGCCACCAACAGCUUCCAGUUGUGUUGAUUCUUAAGGUGUGGGGGCAGGGGACAGAGUGGCUUUUGGCUCUCAUGGGGCGGUGACUCACAGUGGGAAUGUUCUAAGAUAGACACAGGGCUCACGGCGCCAGCCCUCCUGCAUGAGACUAUUGUGAGGGAAAAGGUAAAACCUUUGAGGAUAGAAGCGCGCUCAUUUCUCCAGUCAAUUAGCCUAACUGACGUUGAGGUGGUUACCUGGGUAGUUAAGAGUUCUGUGGUCAGAGGGCGCCUGGGUGGCUCAGUUGGUUAAGCGACUGCCUUCGGCUCAGGUCAUGAUCUUGGAGUCCCGGGAUCGAGUCCCGCAUUGGGCUCCCUGCUCAGCAGGGAGUCUGCUUCUCCCUCUGACCCUCCCCCCUCUCAUGUGCUCUCUUUCUCAUUCUCUCUCUCUCAAAUAAAUAAAUAAAAUCUUAAAAAAAAAAAAAAAA